GAUGAAGAACGUAGCGAAAUGCGAUAAGUAGUGUGAAUUGCAGAAUUCAGUGAAUCAUCGAAUCUUUGAACGCACAUUGCGCCCUUUGGUAUUCCUUAGGGCAUGCCUGUUCGAGCGUCAUUUAAACCUUCAAGCUCAGCUUGGUGUUGGGUGACUGUCCGCUUCACCGCGGACUCGCCUCAAAAUUAUUGGCGGCCGGUACAUUGGCUCUCGAGCGCAGCAGAAACGCGUAACUCGAGGUCCUCGUGCUGGCUCCCAGAAGCUAUCUUCACAAUUUUGACCUCGGAUCAGGUAGGGAUACACGCUGAACUUAAGCAUAUCAAUAAGCGGAGGA
rnacentral:misc_RNA from 1 species